rnacentral:rRNA from 1 species
AAUCAACGCUGGCGGCGUGCCUAACACAUGCAAGUCGAACGCGAAAGCCCUUUCGGGGGUAAGUAGAGUGGCGUCCGGGUGAGUAACACGUAGGUAAUCUACCUUCGGGUGGGGAAUAACUCGCCGAAAGGCGAGCUAAUACCGCAUAAUGCAGCGGCACCUAAUGGUGAUUAGUUGUUAAAGCGGGGGACCCGCAAGGGCCUCGCGCCUGAAGAGGAGCCUGCGGCAGAUUAGCUAGNGGUGAGGUAAUGGCUCACCAAGGCUACGAUCUGUAGCUGGUCUGAGAGGACGGCCAGCCACACUGGCACUGACACACGGGCCAGACUCCUACGGGAGGCAGCAGUGGGGAAUUUUGGGCAAUGGGCGAAAGCCUGACCCAGCAACGCCGCGUGAGGGAGGGAAAUCCUCGGGAUGUAAACCUCAUAAGUAAGGGAAGAGCGCAGGA